rnacentral:snRNA from 1 species
AUCGCUUCUCGGCCUCUUGCCUAAGAUCAAGUGUAGUAUCUGUUCUUAUCAGCUUAUGUAUGGGAAAGCACAUGCUAGGUUCUUAUGUGACUAAUUGCUCACAGACAGUCUUUAUUAUUGUAAUUACUGUCAUUAUCAUCAGUACUGUUCUCACUUAUCGAUCACUUAUGUAUCUCUA